rnacentral:tRNA from 1 species
GGCCGGUUAGCUCAGCUUGGCUCAGAGCGCCUCUCUUACAAAGAGGAUGUCGAGGGUUCAAAUCCUUCACCGGCUACCA